rnacentral:rRNA from 1 species
ACGGGGAUGGCGAGCGUUACUCGGAUUUACUGGGUGUAAAGGGCAGGUAGGUGGCUUUGUAAGUUGAAGGUGAAAUGCUCUGACUCAAUCAGAGAACUGCCUUCAAAACUGCAUUGCUUGAGGAUUGGAGAGGAGAGCGGAAUUCCAGGUGUAAGGGUGAAAUCUGUAGAUAUCUGGAGGAACACCAGUGGCGAAAGCGGCUCUCUGGCCAAUAUCUGACACUAAGCUGCGAAAGCUAGGGGAGCAAACAG